rnacentral:rRNA from 1 species
GACGAACGCUGGCGGCGUGCUUAACACAUGCAAGUCGAACGGAAAGGCCCUGCUUUUGUGGGGUGCUCGAGUGGCGAACGGGUGAGUAACACGUGAGUAACCUGCCCUUGACUUUGGGAUAACUUCAGGAAACUGGGGCUAAUACCGGAUAGGAGCUCCUGCUGCAUGGUGGGGGUUGGAAAGUUUCGGCGGUUGGGGAGGGACUCGCGGCUUAUCAGCUUGUUGGUGGGGUAGUGGCUUACCAAGGCUUUGAGGGGUAGCCGGCCGGAGAGGGUGACCGGCCACAUUGGGACUGAGAGACGGCCCAAACUCCUACGGGAGGCAGCAGUGGGGAAUAUUGCACAAUGGGCGGAAGCCGGAUGCAGCAACGCCGCGUGCUGGAUGACGCCCUUCUGGUUGUAAACCGCUUUCGCCUGUGACGAAGCGUGAGUGACGGUAAUGGGUAAAGAAGCACCGGCUAACUACGUG